rnacentral:lncRNA from 1 species
GGCCUGAAGCCCAAUAGCCAAUUGCUAGUUACUUGACAAAAAUGAGAAUACAAUUGGGCUCGACAUGAAGCCGAAAUCGAAAACUUAAUGGCAAGAGGGGAAUUUGGCACAGCUAGGCUAAUGCCGGUGGCGCAAUUUAACAUUUCAGCACUAACGUUGGGAGAAUACUACAAAUUUCACGAAACUCCUUGGAUCUGAACAAACACAGACAAACUUGAUCACGUGUGAAGCACAUUUGAAUAUCACAUAUGUUCUUUACUGAAAAUAUGAUCCCCAAUGCGAUAACCAAAACCUUUACACAAAUUGUUCCUCAUUUAACAUCAAAAAUUCUGAGAUCAAAGCUCAUGCUAAAUUCUGAUCUCACACCAGCAUAUUUAAACAAGACCACAUGACUCAAAAUUUUCUAAAGAAAACCAAAUGUAAAGAAUUAAUCUAAAUCUGAGAAUCCUCAAAGCUGAAAUCAAACUCAAAUUCCAUUUGAAAGUUCUUUUAAAAAUUCAAAGUUCUUAUAUAUGAACAGAGGCAGAACUAAGUUACAAAUUUCUGAAAUCAAUAGACUAUGCUUCAGGCUAUAUAUAAGCAAGUCUGAACACAUGAUUAAUGGGAAACAAACUUAAAUAAGAUUUACUAGACCAACAACAUGAAUGGUUUGAACUAAUAAGUCUAUAACCCAGAGCUAUGAAAACACACUCAAAGCCAGCCAGACUCACAAUCAAACUAAAUUGUCACAGUCUUCAGUUAAUACAUUUUAUACUAAAUCUAAAAAGACAUUCUUGAAUCAACUACAUUCAAACAAAAUCACAUAUCCAAACCUUAAGACAAACAUGUAGGACUGAUGACAUGAAUGACUACACAUAAGAAAACUGGACUAAAAGAAACACAAAACAAAAUACAACAAACUUAAAAAGCUGAUAAAGCAAUAGAGAAUUAGCAAUUGUCAAUUUCUUCAACUUGAAUUACAUGGCUUCACAUAACAGCAUAAUCAAGCUUCAUUUCCAUUCAUGGUUUGACGAAAGUACCUGGAAGUUAAGAAGGAAUCAAAGGGAAUGAAAGGGUUAACAACAGUAGCAGCAAAAUCAGCAAUGUAACAGUGCCAAUCAGCAAACCAAAACCCAAACUUCAGGAACCAGACCCCAAACAAUUCAAACCCAAACUUUUAAACCCAAAUUCGAGCCAUUUUUACUCAGAUGCACGAUUUUGGAGUUCUUCAGAAGUUAUAAACCAAGCAAAAGAAUUUAGAGAAUCGAACAAUCAAAACCAAUUUUGAGCAAUUUUCAGUACUUUUGAAAUUUGGAAAAGGAAUUCAAGUACUUCUGAAAUUUCAGUGUUUUUAGCCUUUUGUCAGUCUCUAAACCUCUAAAAUCUAACAUGCGUGUGCAGAAAGAAUGCUUUUAUAGGCAAGCCUUAGGGCAGCAAGACUGAAUUCAGUUUUACUCUUUUAAUCCUUUUGUAAUUUUUAUUUUUCUAAUGUACCCUUAGUUUAAAAAUCAGGUUUUCAAAUUAGUCCCCAUCCCACCUUCUAGGCAGCUUCCCAAGUUAGUUACAAGAGAUUCCCUAACCUAGAAUUCCUAAAAUAACCCUUAAGACCCCUAUUUUUACCCCUGAAACCUCAUGGGUCAAGUUGACCUAAUGGUUCAACCCAAACCUGGGCUUGCAAGACCCGAAUUGAAUCCCUUUCUUGGGCUUCUAAUUCAGAACCCAAGUUUGAAUCACAAUCAAAGGUCAUAAAUUAACGGGCUAACCAGAGUAAACCAGAAAACCUUUUAGAAUGAAACCAAAACAAAAAAGGGUAAAUGAACUAAUUAGACCUAAUUAAUAAAAACCAAAACAAAAUAAACUAAAUUUGUUAUCAAUCUAAUUAUGUAAUGGAACAAUGAUUAAAAAUGAAAACAUAACGAAGAAGAAGAAAAGAAGAGACAGAGAAAAGAUGAAGAUGAACUUAAACGAAAAAAGAAGAAGAAAAAUGCAAGAAAGAAAAAGGAGCUGAAAAUACCUAAGAAUCGGGCGGACAAAUCUUGAAACUAACCUUCAAGCUUUGGAAUUUGGAAAAGGAAUUCAAUUGCUUCUGAAAUUUCAGUGUUUUUAGCCUUUUUUCAGUCUCUAAACCUCUAAAAUCUUACUUGUGUGUGAAGAAAGAAUGCUUUUAUAGGCAAGCCUUAGG